rnacentral:rRNA from 1 species
CAGUAGCCACGGUAAUACGUAGGGCGCAAGCGUUGUCCGGAAUUAUUGGGCGUAAAGAGCUCGUAGGCGGUCUGUCGCGUCUGGUGUGAAAUCCCGAGGCUCAACCUCGGGCUUGCAUCGGGUACGGGCAGACUAGAGUGCGGUAGGGGAGACUGGAAUUCCUGGUGUAGCGGUGGAAUGCGCAGAUAUCAGGAGGAACACCGAUGGCGAAGGCAGGUCUCUGGGCCGCAACUGACGCUGAGGAGCGAAAGCAUGGGGAGCGAACAGGAUUAGAUACCCCCGUAGUCCCUGUCUCUUAUAA